AGAACGAACGCUGGCGGCAGGCCUAACACAUGCAAGUCGAACGCCCCGCAAGGGGAGUGGCAGACGGGUGAGUAACGCGUGGGAACGUGCCCUAAGGUACGGAACAACUCCGGGAAACUGGAGCUAAUACCGUAUGUGCCCGAGAGGGGAAAGAUUUAUCGCCUUGGGAUCGGCCCGCGUCUGAUUAGCUAGUUGGUAGGGUAACGGCCUACCAAGGCUACGAUCAGUAGCUGGUCUGAGAGGAUGACCAGCCACACUGGGACUGAGACACGGCCCAGACUCCUACGGGAGGCAGCAGUGGGGAAUAUUGGACAAUGGGCGAAAGCCUGAUCCAGCCAUGCCGCGUGAGUGAUGAAGGCCUUAGGGUUGUAAAGCUCUUUCGGUGGGGACGAUAAUGACGGUACCCGCAGAAGAAGCCCCGGCUAACUUCGUGCUAGCAGCCGC
rnacentral:rRNA from 1 species